rnacentral:misc_RNA from 1 species
GCAAACUUGGUCAUUUAGAGGAAGUAAAAGUCGUAACAAGGUUUCCGUAGGUGAACCUGCGGAAGGAUCAUUACCGAGUUAGGGUGUCGCCUCGGCGCGCCCGACCUCCCAACCCUUUGUCUACCUUACCAAACGUUGCUUCGGCAGGCCCGCCGACCCUCCACCGUCCCCCCCGGGGGCGGUCGAGGUGAGGCCGCCGGGGGUCUCACGACCCCGGGCCCGCGCCUGUCGAUGGCCCCAAUCUUAACUCUUUGCAUUAAACGUGUCGUCUGAGUUAAACAAAAAAAUAAAAACCAAAACUUUCAACAACGGAUCUCUUGGUUCUGGCAUCGAUGAAGAACGCAGC